CCUACGGGACGCAGCAGUGGGGAAUAUUGCGCAACGGGCGAAAGCCUGCCGCAGCGACGCCGCGUGAGGGAUGGAGGUCUUCGGAUCGUAAACCUCCGUCAGCAGGGAAGAACGGUCACUGUGCUAAUCAGCAGUGAAUUGACGGUACCUGCAAAGGAAGCACCGGCUAACUCCGUGCCAGCAGCCGCGUUAAUACGGAGGGUGCGAGCGUUAAGCGGAAUUACUGGGCGUAAAGCGCUCGUAGGCGGUAUGUCAAGUCAAGGGUGAUAUCCCCGCGCUCAACGUGUGAACUGCCUUUGACACUG
rnacentral:rRNA from 1 species